GACGAACGCUGGCGGCGUGCUUAACACAUGCAAGUCGAACGGAAAGGCCCUGCUUUUGUGGGGUGCUCGAGUGGCGAACGGGUGAGUAACACGUGAGUAACCUGCCCUUGACUUUGGGAUAACUUCAGGAAACUGGGGCUAAUACCGGAUAGGAGCUCCUGCUGCAUGGUGGGGGUUGGAAAGUUUCGGCGGUUGGGGAUGGACUCGCGGCUUAUCAGCUUGUUGGUGGGGUAGUGGCUUACCAAGGCUUUGACGGGUAGCCGGCCUGAGAGGGUGACCGGCCAAAUUGGGACUGAGAUACGGCCCAGACUCCUACGGGAGGCGGAAGUGGGGAAUAUUGAAAAAUGGGCGGAAGCCUGAUGCAGCAACGCCGCGUGCGGGAUGACGGCCUUCGGGUUGUAAACCGCUUUCGCCUGUGACGAAGCGUGAGUGACGGUAAUGGGUAAAGAAGAACCGGCUAACUACGUG
rnacentral:rRNA from 1 species